CUGGAUUUGCAGCUCUAUGAAGGAUGGAGAGAGAAGGGGCAAACGGGAUGAAAACUCGAAUGGAUCCGCCGGUCAUCACCAUGAAGAACCCAAUAAUAAUUAAAAACGAAUCAAAUGCUGAAAAUUACCAACAGGUCCUUUCUCGGUCUACCCUGACCGUUGGAACCAACUGAACAAACCGAUAAAACAGCUUUCCCGCGGUUUAGAGAACGUAGAGUUGGACUGGGGUUUUAAACUCAGGUAGGAGUGCUC
rnacentral:lncRNA from 1 species